UACGUAGGCAGCAAGCGUUGUUCGGAGUUACUGGGCGUAAAGGGUGUGUAGGCGGUUUUUAAGUUUGGUGUGAAAUCUCCCGGCUCAACUGGGAGGGUGCGCCGAAUACUGAAAGACUAGAGUGCGGGAGAGGAAAGUGGGAAUUCCUGGUGUAGCGGUGAAAUGCGUAGAUAUCAGGAGGAACACCGGUGGUGUAGACGGCUUUCUGGACCGUAACUGACGCUGAGACACGAAAGCGUGGGUAGCAAACAGG
rnacentral:rRNA from 1 species